rnacentral:lncRNA from 1 species
AAGAAAGUGGCAGCGAUUGUUCGAUAACUCGCUGCUGGAGGCCGCUGCUGACUCCCCAAGGCGACCCAGGGAAAAGAAACCAGCCUGGUUUCUUCGCUCAGACUCCUUUGGCAACCCUACCCCACCGAGAGGUUUUUGUGGAUCACCACAGCAGCAUCCCCCAGCACAGUGCCCAUUCCUUUUCCCCGUGGAGGGAAACGUCGGUUCCUAAAGCAUGAGGCUCUGUGGUACAGUGAUAUCACAGAAGAAAUCUUCUCAAGAUGUGAGACAGAGACACACAAAAUUCCUGUGCUCCUGCCUGAAGACAGAGCAGCUGGGGAAGGGAGCAUGCUCCAGGCUGCCCUGCACCCCUGGGCUUCUCAGAUGGGGCUGCUGCUGGCAACACCAAGGCAUUGGGUGUGGAUGGCCCCGAUCCUUAAAGAUGGGAAUUCAUCCCUUUGAAACUCACCUGUGGCAGAACUCAGCAGGCAGGGGGCAGCCCUGGGAUGACAGCGAUGCUGCCAUUCAUUGCAACGGGGCCAGGAGAAACAGCAGCAGGCACAACAGUCUCAUGGACUGAGUGCAUGUGUGCACGUGUUGGUGCUUUCAUUUUUGCGGCUGCAGCUCCCAGAGUUGUGAGGUUGGUGUUGCAUUUCAGUUGCCCUUUUUGCAGGAAAAAGAAAAAGAAAAAAGAAGGGGAGGAAAGUUUCUACCUGCAGUUGUGGAUGAGACUGAAAAAGGGAAGCCCAGGGCUCAGAUGUGAGAAGUGAAGGUGGCUCAGGUGGGCAUGGCAAACCCACCUCGUGAGGGCUUUUCUCAGUGAUCAAGGCUGGUUUUGCUGCAGCAGGAUCAGGCCCCGCUGCCCAGAGCCAGGAGGUGGCUGGUGUGGGCAGGAGGUGGUGGGGCUAAUUUGUCUGCCUUUUGCAUCCUUUAAUGCAGAGCUGUAACAGCAGGAGCAGGCAGUCUGCGGGGGCUGUUGGUACUGGGGUUUACUUUCCUAGUGCAAUACAUGCACAGCAAAAACACUUAUUACCUGAAAAGAUCUCAGCCUGCUGACUUCCAUCAAAUUCCGCCUAAUAACCUUACUACAUUUAAUUCUAAUCUCUCCCCUCUUUCAGGAGCUGAUCAGUCUCUUCUGGCAUUCCCACUAACCUUCUCUCUGACUGCAGACACUAUAUAAAAUGUGAGUACUCAGAGUGAGAACUGUCUUUCUAUGACUGUGCGUUUUUAACCCGACAACAGAAAAAGCUUCCUUCCUACAUUUGUAUCUUGCUAUCUCACGGAGGCCCA